GUACGAUGCUUUCGGGCAUAGUGGCGCACGGGUGCGUAACGCGUGGGAAUCUGCCCUUUGGUCUGGGAUAACUGUUGGAAACGACAGCUAAUACCGGAUGAUGACGUAAGUCCAAAGAUUUAUCGCCAGAGGAUGAGCCCGCGUCGGAUUAGCUAGUUGGUGGGGUAAAGGCCUACCAAGGCGACGAUCCGUAGAUGGUCUGAGAGGAUGAUCAGCCACACUGGGACUGAGACACGGCCCAGACUCCUACGGGAGGCAGCAGUGGGGAAUAUUGGACAAUGGGCGAAAGCAUGAUCCAGCAAUGCCGCGUGAGUGAUGAAGGCAUUAGGGUUGUAAAGCUCUUUUACGCCGGGAUGAUAAUGACAGUACACGGGAGAAUAAGCUCCGGCUAAGUCCGUG
rnacentral:rRNA from 1 species